rnacentral:rRNA from 1 species
AUCGAACGCUGGCGGCAGGCUUAACACAUGCAAGUCGAACGAGUGGCGGACGGGUGAGUAAUGCUUGGGAAUCUGGCUUAUGGAGGGGGAUAACGACGGGAAACUAUCGCUAAUACCGCGUACCAUAGGAUGAGCCCAAGUGGGAUUAGGUAGUUGGUGGGGUAAUGGCCUACCAAGCCGAGGAUCUCUAGCUGGUCUGAGAGGAUGACCGGCCACCCCGGAACUGAGACACGGCCCUGACGCCGACGGGAGGCAGCAGUGGGGAAUAUUGCGCAGUGGGGGCAACCUGACGCAGCCAUGCCGCGUGAAUUAAGAAGGCCUUCGGGUUGUAAAGUUCUUUCGGUGACGAGGCGUUAAUCACAGAAGAAGCACCGGCUAACUACGUGCCAGCAGCCGCGGUAAUUC